rnacentral:rRNA from 1 species
GUAGUUAAUAGCUGCAUUAUUUGACGUUAGCGACAGAAGAAGCACCGGCUAACUCCGUGCCAGCAGCCGCGGUAAUACGGAGGGUGCGAGCGUUAAUCGGAAUUACUGGGCGUAAAGCGCAUGCAGGUGGUUUGUUAAGUCAGAUGUGAAAGCCCGGGGCUCAACCUCGGAAUAGCAUUUGAAACUGGCAGACUAGAGUACUGUAGAGGGGGGUAGAAUUUCAGGUGUAGCGGUGAAAUGCGUAGAGAUCUGAAGGAAUACCGGUGGCGAAGGCGGCCCCCUGGACAGAUACUGACACUCAGAUGCGAAAGCGUGGGGAGCAAACAGGAUUAGAUACCCUGGUAGUCCACGCCGUAAACGAUGUCUACUUGGAGGUUGUGGCCUUGAGCCGUGGCUUUCGGAGCUAACGCGUUAAGUAGACCGCCUGGGGAGUACGGUCGCAAGAUUAAAACUCAAAUGAAUUGACGGGGGCCCGCACAAGCGGUGGAGCAUGUGGUUUAAUUCGAUGCAACGCGAAGAACCUUACCUACUCUUGACAUCCAGAGAACUUUCCAGAGAUGGAUUGGUGCCUUCGGGAACUCUGAGACAGGUGCUGCAUGGCUGUCGUCAGCUCGUGUUGUGAAAUGUUGGGUUAAGUCCCGCAACGAGCGCAACCCUUAUCCUUGUUUGCCAGCGAGUAAUGUCGGGAACUCCAGGGAGACUGCCGGUGAUAAACCGGAGGAAGGUGGGGACGACGUCAAGUCAUCAUGGCCCUUACGAGUAGGGCUACACACGUGCUACAAUGGCGCAUACAGAGGGCGGCCAACUUGCGAAAGUGAGCGAAUCCCAAAAAGUGCGUCGUAGUCCGGAUUGGAGUCUGCAACUCGACUCCAUGAAGUCGGAAUCGCUAGUAAUCGUGGAUCAGAAUGCCACGGUGAAUACGUUCCCGGGCCUUGUACACACCGCCCGUCACACCAUGGGAGUGGGCUGCAAAAGAAGUAGGUAGUUUAACCUUCGGGGGG